rnacentral:rRNA from 1 species
GCGGCGUGCUUAACACAUGCAAGUCGAACGGAAAGGCCCUGCUUUUGUGGGGUGCUCGAGUGGCGAACGGGUGAGUAACACGUGAGUAACCUGCCCUUGACUUUGGGAUAACUUCAGGAAACUGGGGCUAAUACCGGAUAGGAGCUCCUGCUGCAUGGUGGGGGUUGGAAAGUUUCGGCGGUUGGGGAUGGACUCGCGGCUUAUCAGCUUGUUGGUGGGGUAGUGGCUUACCAAGGCUUUGACGGGUAGCCGGCCUGAGAGGGUGACCGGCCACAUUGGGACUGAGAUACGGCCCAGACUCCUACGGGAGGCAGCAGUGGGGAAUAUUGCACAAUGGGCGGAAGCCUGAUGCAGCAACGCCGCGUGCGGGAUGACGGCCUUCGGGUUGUAAACCGCUUUCGCCUGUGACGAAGCGUGAGUGACGGUAAUGGGUAAAGAAGCACCGGCUAACUACGUGCCAGCAGCCGCGGUGAUACGUAGGGUGCGAGCGUUGUCCGGAUUUAUUGGGCGUAAAGGGCUCGUAGGUGGUUGAUCGCGUCGGAAGUGUAAUCUUGGGGCUUAACCCUGAGCGUGCUUUCGAUACGGGUUGACUUGAGGAAGGUAGGGGAGAAUGGAAUUCCUGGUGGAGCGGUGGAAUGCGCAGAUAUCAGGAGGAACACCAGUGGCGAAGGCGGUUCUCUGGGCCUUUCCUGACGCUGAGGAGCGAAAGCGUGGGGAGCGAACAGGCUUAGAUACCCUGGUAGUCCACGCUGUAAACGGUGGGUACUAGGUGUGGGGUCCAUUCCACGGGUUCCGUGCCGUAGCUAACGCUUUAAGUACCCCGCCUGGGGAGUACGGCCGCAAGGCUAAAACUCAAAGGAAUUGACGGGGCCCCGCACAAGCGGCGGAGCAUGCGGAUUAAUUCGAUGCAACGCGUAGAACCUUACCUGGGUUUGACAUGGAUCGGGAGUGCUCAGAGAUGGGUGUGCCUCUUUUGGGGUCGGUUCACAGGUGGUGCAUGGCUGUCGUCAGCUCGUGUCGUGAGAUGUUGGGUUAAGUCCCGCAACGAGCGCAACCCUUGUUCACUGUUGCCAGCACGUUAUGGUGAGGACUCAGUGGAGACCGCCGGGGUCAACUCGGAGGAAGGUGGGGAUGACGUCAAGUCAUCAUGCCCCUUAUGUCCAGGGCUUCACGCAUGCUACAAUGGCUGGUACAGAGAGUGGCGAGCCUGUGAGGGUGAGCGAAUCUCGGAAAGCCGGUCUCAGUUCGGAUUGGGGUCUGCAACUCGACCUCAUGAAGUCGGAGUCGCUAGUAAUCGCAGAUCAGCAACGCUGCGGUGAAUACGUUCCCGGGGCUUGUACACACCGCCCGUCAAGUCAUGAAAGUUGGUAACACCCGAAGCCGGUGGCCUAACCGUUGUGGGGGAGCCGUCGAAGGUGGGACUGGUGAUUAGGACUAAGUCAUAAC